rnacentral:rRNA from 1 species
CAGCCGCCGCGGUAAUACGUAGGGUGCGAGCGUUAAUCGGAAUUACUGGGCGUAAAGCGUGCGCAGGCGGUUAUAUAAGACAGAUGUGAAAUCCCCGGGCUCAACCUGGGACCUGCAUUUGUGACUGUAUAGCUAGAGUACGGUAGAGGGGGAUGGAAUUCCGCGUGUAGCAGUGAAAUGCGUAGAUAUGCGGAGGAACACCGAUGGCGAAGGCAAUCCCCUGGACCUGUACUGACGCUCAUGCACGAAAGCAUGGGGAGCAAACAGGAUUAGAUACCCGCGUAGUCCCUGUCUCUUAUAU